rnacentral:rRNA from 1 species
AUUGAACGCUGGCGGCAGGCCUAACACAUGCAAGUCGAACGGUAGCACAGAGAGCUUGCUCUCGGGUGACGAGUGGCGGACGGGUGAGUAAUGUCUGGGAAACUGCCCGAUGGAGGGGGAUAACUACUGGAAACGGUAGCUAAUACCGCAUAACGUCGCAAGACCAAAGUGGGGGACCUUCGGGCCUCACACCAUCGGAUGUGCCCAGAUGGGAUUAGCUAGUAGGUGGGGUAAUGGCUCACCUAGGCGACGAUCCCUAGCUGGUCUGAGAGGAUGGCCAGCCACACGGGAACCGAGACACGGUCCAGACUCCUACGGGAGGCAGCAGUGGGGAAUAUUGCACAAUGGGCGCAAGCCUGAUGCAGCCAUGCCGCGUGUAUGAAGAAGGCCUUCGGGUUGUAAAGUACUUUCAGCGGGGAGGAAGGCGGUGAAGUUAAUAACUUCACCGAUUGACGUUACCCGCAGAAGAAGCACCGGCUAACUCCGUGCCAGCAGCCGCCGUAA